GUUUGAUCCUGGCUCAGAUUGAACGCUGGCGGCAUGCCUUACACAUGCAAGUCGAACGGCAGCGCGGGGCAACCUGGCGGCGAGUGGCGAACGGGUGAGUAAUAUAUCGGAACGUACCCUGGAGUGGGGGAUAACGUAGCGAAAGUUACGCUAAUACCGCAUACGAUCUAAGGAUGAAAGUGGGGGCUUCGCAAGAACCUCAUGCUCCUGGAGCGGCCGAUAUCUGAUUAGCUAGUUGGUGAGGUAAAGGCUCACCAAGGCUUCGAUCAGUAGCUGGUCUGAGAGGACGACCAGCCACACUGGAACUGAGACACGGUCCAGACUCCUACGGGAGGCAGCAGUGGGGAAUUUUGGACAAUGGGCGCAAGCCUGAUCCAGCAAUGCCGCGUGAGUGAAGAAGGCCUUCGGGUUGUAAAGCUCUUUUGUCAGGGAAGAAACGGUGAGAGCUAAUAUCUCUUGCUAAUGACGGUACCUGAAGAAUAAGCACCGGCUAACUACGUGCCAGCAGCCGCGGUAAUACGUAGGGUGCAAGCGUUAAUCGGAAUUACUGGGCGUAAAGCGUGCGCAGGCGGUUUUGUAAGUUUGUCGUGAAAGCCCCGGGCUCAACCUAGGAAUUGCGAUGAAGACUGCAAGGCUUGAAUCUGGCAGAGGGGGGUAGAAUUCCACGUGUAGCAGUGAAAUGCGUAGAGAUGUGGAGGAACACCGAUGGCGAAGGCAGCCCCCUGGGUCAAGAUUGACGCUCAUGCACGAAAGCGUGGGGAGCAAACAGGAUUAGAUACCCUGGUAGUCCACGCCCUAAACGAUGUCUACUAGUUGUCGGGUUUUAAUUAACUUGGUAACGCAGCUAACGCGUGAAGUAGACCGCCUGGGGAGUACGGUCGCAAGAUUAAAACUCAAAGGAAUUGACG
rnacentral:rRNA from 1 species